GUCCAGACUCCUACGGGAGGCAGCAGUGGGGAAUAUUGCACAAUGGGGGAAACCCUGAUGCAGCGACGCCGCGUGAGUGAAGAAGUAUUUCGGUAUGUAAAGCUCUAUCAGCAGGGAAGAAAUAGCGACCUUUGGGUCGCCAGACGGUACCUGACUAAGAAGCCCCGGCUAACUACGUGCCAGCAGCCGCGGUAAUACGUAGGUGGCAAGCGUUGUCCGGAUUUACUGGGUGUAAAGGGCGUGCAGCCGGGAGGACAAGUCAGAUGUGAAAUCCCGCGGCUCAACCGCGGAACUGCAUUUGAAACUGUUUUUCUUGAGUACCGGAGAGGUCAUCGGAAUUCCUUGUGUAGCGGUGAAAUGCGUAGAUAUUAGGAGGAACACCAGUGGCGAAGGCGGCCUGCUGGACGAUGACUGACGUUGAGGCUCGAAAGCGUGGGGAGCAAACAGGAUUAGAUACCCCUGUAA
rnacentral:rRNA from 1 species